GGAUCAAAAAGAGAAAUAAUAAUUUAACCACCAGUAAAAAGUAGUAACAUGAGUCAAUAACAAUAGAACAUAGUUCGGUUCUUGACAUAUAUAUUUUAGUGGAAAAAUGCGAUCAGUUUUCAAGAAAUUCUGAGCAGAAAUUGCAGACCGGUUUCAAAAUUUCCGGAGCCCAAUUUGAAAAUGCAUGGCGUUACACAUGCGCAAAAAUGUGUUUUCAACAAUUCCUAGUGCAUGUUAUAAUUGAAGAGAUUAUUGUUCAAUUCUACUACUGAGUGUCUGGCAAAAACUGCAUGGACGUUAGAGUAGAGGGAAAUAAUAACCGGCUACGAAUAAAGAUUCAACUGCAACAUAAACUUCACAAUGCAUCUUAUCAAACAAUUUUCACUUAAGAAGUAUGGAUCUAACUAAGCAAGGGGUUUUAUUGAUCCCGGGAUUUUCGAGUCCUUAUUAUUUAAUCCGGGAUCGCAGAUUGAUUUUGAGUUUGGUAAAAAUUAUUAUUAGAACAGCGUAAUACGUACAUAUAUACUUAGUCAAUUAAAGUAUUUUAAAUCAAACAUUAUAGCAAAUGUAUAUAAUUUUUGGUAAUUCGCAUAUUUAUUAAGACAAUAAUUUAAUAUUAUUUAUAAACAAUACAAUGGAUUUAUGUAUGAAUUAAAUGUAGGUAAAUAUAACCAUCCAGUUUAUCAAGAGUCUGACACAUAAAUUAACGUG